rnacentral:rRNA from 1 species
UACGUAGGGUGCAAGCGUUGUCCGGAAUUAUUGGGCGUAAAGAGCUCGUAGGCGGUUUGUCGCGUCUGCUGUGAAAACUCGGGGCUUAACCCCGGGCCUGCAGUGGGUACGGGCAGACUAGAGUGCGGUAGGGGAGUCUGGAAUUCCUGGUGUAGCGGUGAAAUGCGCAGAUAUCAGGAGGAACACCGGUGGCGAAGGCGGGUCUCUGGGCCGUAACUGACGCUGAGACGCGAAAGCGUGGGGAGCAAACAGG